rnacentral:misc_RNA from 1 species
AGCGGAUGAACAUACCACCAUCAACCAUGCUCGACAAGCUCUGGGACGAUGGCUUCGGCGGCCCUCAACCCGACAGGGGCCUCGAGAAGCUGAGGAAGAUCAAGCCCCUCGUCGUCAAUGGGUUAGAUGGUGAAGCGGAGAGCAGUGGGGUUAAGUACAUGAAGAGCAUCUCGUUGCCGCCGACUCCGCGGACUCCGACUACUCCGACGACACCGAUGUCGGCACGCAAGCCGAACGUGUGGCGCAGCGUGUUCAAUCCAGGGAGCAACCUGGCAACGAAGACGCUGGGAUCUGAUCUCUUCGACAAGCCCCAGCCAAACUCCCCCACAGUCUAUGACUGGCUUUACAGCAGCGAGACGAAGAGCAGCCACCGCUGAAGUGGUGUAUGCAUGAGAGAGCAGAGGCCGACGUAUGCUAAGCUCUG